GAUGAAGAACGCAGCGAAAUGCGAUACGUAAUGUGAAUUGCAGAAUUCAGUGAGUCAUCGAAUCUUUGAACGCACAUUGCGCCUGCCAGCACUCUGGCAGGCAUGCCUGUUCGAGCGUCAUUUCAACCAUCAAGCCCUAGGCUUGCGUUGGAGCCCUGCGGCUGCCGCAGGCCCCUAAAAGCAGUGGCGGGCUCGCUAUCACACCGAGUGCAGUAGAUUACUCUUCGCUCAGGGCGUGUGGCGGGUUCCAGCCGUGAAACCCCCUACUUCUCAAGGUUGACCUCGGAUCAGGUAGGAAUACCCGCUGAACUUAAGCAUAUCAAUAAGCGGAGGA
rnacentral:misc_RNA from 1 species